rnacentral:rRNA from 1 species
AACGAACGCUGGCGGCAGGCCUAACACAUGCAAGUCGAACGGACCCUUCGGGGUUAGUGGCGCACGGGUGAGUAACACGUGGGAAUAUGCCCUUAGGUACGGGACAACAGCUGGAAACGGCUGCUAAUACCGUAUGAUAUCGAGAGAUCAAAGAUUUAUCGCCUAAGGAUUAGCCCGCGUUAGAUUAGGUAGUUGGUGGGGUAAGAGCCUACCAAGCCUACGAUCUAUAGCUGGUCUCAGAGGAUGAUCAGCCACACUGGAACUGAGACACGGUCCAGACUCCUACGGGAGGCAGCAGUGAGGAAUAUUGGACAAUGGGCGAAAGCCUGAUCCAGCCAUGCCGCGUGAAUGAUGAAGGCCUUAGGGUUGUAAAGUUCUUUUAGUAGUGAAGAUGAUGACGGUAACUACAGAAAAAGCCCCGGCUAACUCCGUGCCAGCCGCCGCGGUAAAAC